rnacentral:rRNA from 1 species
GACGAACGCUGGCGGCGUGCUUAACACAUGCCAGUCGAACGGAAAGGCCCUGCUUUUGUGGGGUGCUCGAGUGGCGAACGGGUGAGUAACACGUGAGUAACCUGCCCUUGACUUUGGGAUAACUUCAGGAAACUGGGGCUAAUACCGGAUAGGAGCUCCUGCUGCAUGGUGGGGGUUGGAAAGUUUCGGCGGUUGGGGAUGGACUCGCGGCUUAUCAGCUUGUUGGUGGGGUAGUGGCUUACCAAGGCUUUGACGGGUAGCCGGCCUGAGAGGGGGACCGGCCACAUUGGGACUGAGAUACGGCCCAGACUCGUACGGGAGGCAGCAGUGGGGAAUAUUGCACAAUGGGCGGAAGCCUGAUGCAGCAACGCCGCGUGCGGGAUGACGGCCUUCGGGUUGUAAACCGCUUUCGCCUGUGACGAAGCGUGAGUGACGGUAAUGGGUAAAGAAGCACCGGCUAACUACGUG